rnacentral:rRNA from 1 species
UACAGAGGGGGCAAGCGUUGUUCGGAAUUACUGGGCGUAAAGGGCGCGUAGGCGGCCUGCUAAGUCGAACGUGAAAUCCCUGGGCUCAACCCAGGAACUGCGUCCGAUACUGGUUGGCUUGAAUCCGGGAGAGGGAUGUGGAAUUCCAGGUGUAGCGGUGAAAUGCGUAGAUAUCAGGAGGAACACCGGUGGCGAAGGCGGCAUCCUGGACCGACACUGACACUGAGGAGCGAAAGCCAGGGGAGCAAACGGG